GGAAUAUAAGAAUCUGUCUCUUAACUUUUAACUAAAAAAGUUAAGAACCGGCUCUAAAUAAGAGUUUUAAGACACGGUUCGUAGCUUUUUUAGUUAAAAGUUAAGAGACGAGUUCUUAUAUUCC
rfam:Brassica napus, WGS project CCCW01000000 data, contig: 9139